GUGAGGAAUUUUCCGCAAUGGGCGCAAGCCUGAUCCAGCAAUGCCGCGUGCAGGAAGAAGGCCUUCGGGUUGUAAACUGCUUUUGUACGGAACGAAACGGUCCGGGUUAAUACCCUGGGCUAAUGACGGUACCGUAAGAAUAAGCACCGGCUAACUACGUGCCAGCAGCCGCGGUAAUACGUAGGGUGCAAGCGUUAAUCGGAAUUACUGGGCGUAAAGCGUGCGCAGGCGGUUUUGUAAGACAGGCGUGAAAUCCCCGGGCUCAACCUGGGAAUUGCGCUUGUGACUGCAAGGCUGGAGUGCGGCAGAGGGGGAUGGAAUUCCGCGUGUAGCAGUGAAAUGCGUAGAUAUGCGGAGGAACACCGAUGGCGAAGGCAAUCCCCUGGGCCUGCACUGACGCUCAUGCACGAAAGCGUGGGGAGCAAACAGGAUUAGAUACCCGAGUAGUCC
rnacentral:rRNA from 1 species